rnacentral:tRNA from 1 species
UGCCCCAUGGCUGAGUUGGUUACAGCGUCCGACUGUUACGCCUCUUACGGUCCCAUACAUCGGAAGGUCGUGAGUUCGAGCCUCACUGGGGCAG